GAGGCGNUGCUAAUACUGCAAGUCGAGCGAACAGACGAGGAGCUUGGCUCCUCUGACGUUAGCGGCGGACGGGUGAGUCACACGUGUAUCAUGUACCUAUAACAGUGGGAUCUCUUCGGGAAACCGGAUCUAAUACCGGAUAAUAUAUUGAAGCGCGUGGUUCAGUAGUGAAAGACGGUUUUGCUGUCACUUAUAAAUGGAUCCGCGCCGCUUUACCUAGUUGGUAAGGUAACGGCUUACCAAGGCAACAAUGCGUAGCCGACCUGAAAGGGUGAUCGGCCACACUGGAACUGAAACACGGUCCAAACUCCUACGGGAGGCAGCAGUAGGGAAUCUUCCGCAAUGGGCAAAAGCCUGACGGACCAACCCCGCGUGAGUGAUGAAGGUCUUCGGAUCGUAAAACUCUGUUAUUAGGGAAAAACAAAUGUGUAAUUAACUAUGCACGUCUUGACGGUACCUAAUCAAAAAGCCACGGCUAACUACGUGCCAGCACCCGCGGUAAUACGUAGGUGGCAAGCGUUAUCCGAAAUUAUUGGGCGUAAAGCGCGCGUAGGCGGUUUUUUAAUUCUGAUGUGAAACCCCACGGUUCAACCGGGAAGGGUCAUUGAAAACUGGAAAACUUGAUUGCAAAAAAGGAAAGUGAAAUUCCAUGUGUACCGGUGAAAUGCGCAAAAAUAUGGAGGAACACCAGUGGCAAAGGCAACUUUCUGGUCUGUAACUGACCCUGAUGUGCAAAAGCGUGGGAAUCAAAACAGGAUUAAAAUACCCUGGUAGUCCACCCCGUAAAACAAUGAUUGCUAAAGUGUUAGGGGGGUUUCCGCCCCUUAUUGCUGCACCUAAACGCAUUAAACCACUCCCGCCUGGGGGAGUACGACCCGCAAGGUUUGAAACCUCAAAGGAANUUGAACGGGGGACCCCCCAACAACCGGUGGAACCAUGUGGUUUUAAUUUCCAAACCAACCNCAAAAAAACCUUUACCAAAUUCUUNGACUUCCUUCUGAACCCCUCUAAAAAAUAAGAGUUUUUCCCCUUUCCGGGGAA
rnacentral:rRNA from 1 species